rnacentral:rRNA from 1 species
AUCCCUUCGGGGUGACGAUGAUUCAGCUUAGUGGCGGACGGGUGAGUAACGCGUGAGCAACCUGCCUUUCAGUGGGGGACAACAGUUGGAAACGACUGCUAAUACCGCAUAAUAUCCUUUUGGGGCAUCCCUUUUGGAUCAAAGAUUUAUUGCUGAAAGAUGGGCUCGCGUCUGAUUAGCUAGUUGGUGGGGUAACGGCCCACCAAGGCGACGAUCAGUAGCCGGACUGAGAGGUUGAACGGCCACAUUGGGACUGAGACACGGCCCAGACUCC